UGUCAGAUCUACGCCCGAGGCA
rnacentral:misc_RNA from 1 species